GUUAUAUGGUCAAGUGACUAAGCGCAUACGGUGGAUGCCUUGGCAGUCAGAGGCGAUGAAAGACGUGGUAGCCUGCGAAAAGCUUCGGGGAGUUGGCAAACAGACUUUGAUCCGGAGAUGUCUGAAUGGGGAAACCCAGCCAUCAUAAGAUGGUUAUCACACACUGAAUACAUAGGUGUGUGAGGCGAACCAGGGGAACUGAAACAUCUAAGUACCCUGAGGAAAAGAAAUCAACCGAGAUUCCCUUAGUAGUGGCGAGCGAACGGGGACUAGCCCUUAAGCUUCUUUGAUUUUAGCGGAACGCUCUGGAAAGUGCGGCCAUAGUGGGUGAUAGCCCCGUACGCGAAAGGAUCUUAGAAGUGAAAUCGAGUAGGUCGGGGCACGUGAAACCUUGACUGAACAUGGGGGGACCAUCCUCCAAGGCUAAAUACUCCUUACUGACCGAUAGUGAACCAGUACCGUGAGGGAAAGGCGAAAAGAACCCCGGAGAGGGGAGUGAAAUAGAACCUGAAACCGUAUGCGUACAAGCAGUGGGAGCCGACUUUGUUCGGUGACUGCGUACCUUUUGUAUAAUGGGUCAGCGACUUAUUUUCAGUGGCGAGCUUAACCGUAUAGGGGAGGCGUAGGGAAACCGAGUCUUAACAGGGCGACCAGUCGCUGGGAAUAGACCCGAAACCGGGCGAUCUAUCCAUGGGCAGGUUGAAGGUUGGGUAACACUGACUGGAGGACCGAACCCACUAACGUUGAAAAGUUAGGGGAUGACCUGUGGAUCGGAGUGAAAGGCUAAUCAAGCUCGGAGAUAGCUGGUUCUCCUCGAAAGCUAUUUAGGUAG
rnacentral:rRNA from 1 species